rnacentral:lncRNA from 1 species
AACACCACUUUAACCAAGACUAGUCCUGUUCUAUACAAGAUGGUCCUGCCUGCUUGCUAACUUGUGAAAAAUGUUUACAUAUAAGUGGGAAGUAUGAAACAACUGCUUGGUUAUGAAAAGGCAAAAUACAUGUCAGUUUUUUUUUUUUUUUUUUUUUUUUGGAUCUUUCAAGACGGUUUCUCUAGCCCUGGCUAUCCUGGAACUCACUUUGUAGACCAGGCUGGCCUCAGAAACCUGCCUGCCUCUGCCUCCCAAGUGCUGGGAUUAAAGGCCACCACUGCCCAGUAUCUCAAAGCUUAUUAAGCUUUGCUAGGUAGCCCACUUGUGACUGAACUGUAAUUUCUGUCUGCAGUGCAAGCUGUUGGUGUAAACUACUUGUGCAAGAACUACAGAGCUCAGUUAAAGCAGUUUUUGCUGGAGCACAGGCAGAGAAGUUAUGCAAACUGAACAAGAGUAGCUUUAUGUGGUGUUGUCAAAACAUGCAAGUACCUUGAUUUGGCUUAAGGAAUCAAGUUUUUUUUUAGGUUUGGGACUUAGUGGGGUUUGGAUUCUGGGAAUAGGUUAAAAUUGCAGGCUAUCAACCAGUAGAAUAGUUGAGUCUUAGAGACUUUAAAAUUUGCUGGUUCAGUUAGAAGUACCUGGUUUGUUUUUGUUGUUGGUGGUGAGAUUAUUCUCCAUGUAAUAACCCUGGCUGUCCUGAAUUUGUAGACCAGGCUGACCUGGAAUUCAAAUUUUCCUACCUCAGCUUGCCCAGUGCUGAGAUGAUGUGCAUGCCACUAUACCUGGCCAAGUACCUGUUUUAGUGGUCAAGCAUGUCUAGUAGCAGCAGGUGACUCACUGGAUUCACUGGAAGGGGCAAGAGUCCUGUGGAGCACUGUAGAGGGAGAUUAAGAGGUGAUUGUGAUUUGUCAAAAUUGAUGCAUUAAAAUGAAUGUAAACCU